GAGAAUCUCAAACUCCUGGCACCUGAGAAGAGAAGUAAAAAAUCGUUCACAAAUUAUUGAUACACUAUAAGACCCUGCACGUCUCACCCUGUACAUGGAGACCACGCAAGAUCUGAGCUCAAUGCUAGAUGCUCCCACUUUAAGGGGCUGGAAGAUGAAUGGUGACUCAGCUGAGAAGAGACUGGUGAUCUUUUUAUCAUGAAAAUGAUUGUGGAAAGGGCUUUAGGGGUCCCAACUUUUUAUAUUGACUGUGAAGGACAGUUCGUGCUUGGUUUUCUGCAGCAUAGAGAGCUCGGGACACAGCAGGUGCAAGGAGGUUCCAGGACUGAAAGCUUUGGUGCUUCUCAUGGCUUGGAUAUCUCAGUGCCUUGGGUAAAGAAGAUGAAGGACCCUCCCUCGCUCAGGCUUUAGGAGCAGGAGCAAACUGAUGGCCCUAGUAUAAAAGGCUAGUGAAGUCUGCAGAGUUCCUGAGCGAGAAGGAUCUCUGAAAGCAUCUUGUUUCACAGAAGCUUCUUCUGUUCCUGGAAAGGGCUCUGGGGAAUCCAGGGAUCAGUGGUCCUGAUGAUCCCUGGGAGAAGGAUGCUCUGUUCCGGGAGAGUGUUCUGAGAGACCCUUCUGCAAAGCCGAAGUGCUGCAGAAGCCAUUCUUUCACGAGAGAUGCAGCACACAGUUCAGUCAAGAUUUGGUCUGCAAAAAAGCCUCCAAGGGAAAAUGGGCUCUUCGAAUAUUUGCUUUCACAGCUAGUCAUUUUUUUAUGUUUUAAAAUUCUUUGACAGUUUCAUAUAUGUAUAAUAAAUUUUGAUAAUUUUUAUUGUG
rnacentral:lncRNA from 1 species